rnacentral:rRNA from 1 species
GACGAACCGUGCGAACGUUGUUCGGAUUCACUGGGCUUAAAGGGCGCGUAGGCGGACGGUCAAGUCGGGGGUGAAAUCUUUCAGCUUAACUGGAAAAGUGCCUCCGAUACUGAUCGCCUCGAGGGAGGUAGGGGCAUGUGGAACUUCCGGUGGAGCGGUGAAAUGUGUUGAUAUCGGAAGGAACGCCGGUGGCGAAAGCGACACACUGGGUCUCAACUGACGCUGAGGCACGAAAGCCAGGGGAGCAAACGGG